AAAAAAUUCAAGUGUGUUUGGUGGGGUACUUUGUGUCAUUAAACAUCUUGAUUAAGCGGGGCUACAGUGUAUACCAUUUGGUGAUGAUUAAUUUCCAAAGAUUAGAGUGCCACCGACUGCCCCGGACGCUAAAAUCAUGCCAAACACGAUCAGUUUUCGUUUGAUGAGUCAAAAUGCACUUCUGGAUCUUGUCAAGCCUUGAGGUCAUCAUUACAAGCAACAUUUGGUUGUGAAAAACAGUUCUCCUUAUUUAACCUCCUGAACUGGAUUCUGAGCAAGGAGCAGUUCCCUGGGCUAUGGCUAAUCCCACUGAAACACAGCCCCUGCCCUCCUCUCUCGGUUUGUAACUCUGUUUUCCCAGGUGGGACUGGCUUCAAGCAGGGUCUACCUGUGCUCAGAGCAGAUGGAGAGAGGCAGGUUCAGCCUCCCUGGAAGGGAGGAGGCUUCAAGUUCAUUGUAGUUACUGGUGACUGGUUUUGAAAUUGAGGAACUAGUUUGAGGAACUUCAGAAUAAACAAGAAACCCAAACAACUCGGCUUUCCACAGAAGACUUCCAGCGCACGGGGGUAAAUGGAAGGGAGCACACGGUCCAGCUCUGCUUUUUGGCAGCGGAACCCUGAUCAUGGCCUCAUUUCAGAUGCAGCCCUACACACCCUUUGACAGACUGACCUGAAUGACAACUUGAGGACGUGAGCAGCAAAGGUGCUGUGCUGGCCAGAAGAUGCCAUGGUGACCAAGACAGACAAGGUCCUUGCUCUCACGAGGCUAUCACCACUAUAACCCUGGAGAGGCUUUUCUGGAAUGCUGAACUUAGUUACGAAGAAGCACCAACAUGGGUCAGGCUUUGAGUCAUUUGCCUACAAACCUGUGUCAGAGUGGUGCCAAGCACAUGGGAUUUGUCAUCGUGUCACCGCCUUCUCUACUCCAGCCUGGAAGUGCCUUCACCUCUGUAAAUGCGAUCCUUUCCUCCCAGACUGCUGAAGUUUCCGGAUUGUUCUCAAGCUCCUUUUCCAAGCUGACAGAUCCCACCCAGGGGCCACCGUCCAGAUACGACAUCAUGCUUUGCCCACAAGGAAGAGCUUCUUCACUGCGAGUUGCUGGAUGAAUCCUGUUGGAAUGACCCCUGACUACUCUGGUUUUUCUGGGCACCUGCAUGCCAUGGGCAACAUGUCUCGUCUUCACAGUGGAAAGAUGCAGAGGAGUUUCUUGGUGCCCAGUGGGUUUGUACCCUCACGGUCAAUCAUGAAUAGUAUCUGAACGCCCACUCUGGGCAAGACACUGCUUGGGGAGGUAGGUAGGAUGCCCUAAAGGUGCACGCAACCUUUGAGACUUCCGGGUAACCGUGCCCAGAAUUAUAUUUUCUUAUCAACUUUGACCUCCUUUUGGUGACACAAACUCAUGGUAUAAGAGAGUGUCAAGUGAUUAGCUUUCUGUUUACUUUUUCUUAGGCCCAGAGCAGCUGCUCUGACUCCACCCUUCCCAGGUCUGGCACCGCUUUGCAGAAAGACUGACAGGGAUGGGGUCAAGGUGGGGGAACAAAGAAGGAACUAGUUAACAGAUCCAAUUCCUCCUCCAGGAGUAGUUCCCUUGUUCAGUGGCAAACCAGCACAGUAAAAAGAGCCCGGACUUCAGUUCAGAUUCUGCCAUUAAGCAGCUGUGUGGCCUUGGGCAACUCACUCGUCUUCCCUGGGCCACCAUUUUCUCUUCUGUAAAACAGGGGAGAAUGUGAAUGGUGAGGAUCAUCUCCAGGCUGUAAUUCUAAUAGCUCUUUCUUGGCAGAGUGGUUAAGGCCUAAAGGUCACUUAGCCACGCUUGCCUGAAAUGAUGGCUGGCUAGCUCAGAUUGAUGGGGUAUUCCUCUGGGGCCGAGGGGGGCUCUGUGACCACUUGCAAGGCAAUGCUUGUUCUUCCCCUGAGGCUUCAAUAAAAUCAAGCCCACAUUGUGGGUGACCCUGGAC
rnacentral:lncRNA from 1 species